rnacentral:rRNA from 1 species
AACGAACGCUGGCGGCAGGCCUAACACAUGCAAGUCGAGCGAACCGCAAGGUUAGCGGCGGACGGGUUAGUAACGCGUGGGAACGUGCCCAAAGGUACGGAAUAGCCUCGGGAAACUGAGAGUAAUACCGUAUGUGACCGAAAGGGGAAAGAUUUAUCGCCUUUGGAUCGGCCCGCGUUGGAUUAGGUAGUUGGUGGGGUAACGGCCUACCAAGCCGACGAUCCAUAGCUGGUUUGAGAGGAUGAUCAGCAACACUAGGACUGAGACACGGCCCAGACUCCUACGGGAGGCAGCAGUGGGGAAUCUUAGACAAUGGGGGAAACCCUGAUCUAGCCAUGCCGCGUGAGCGAUGAAGGCCUUAGGGUUGUAAAGCUCUUUCACCGGGGAAGAUAAUGACGGUACCCGGAGAAGAAGCCCCGGCUAACUCCGUGCCAGCAGCCGCAGUAACAC